UGCCUCUCUGGAGGUUUCUCUUUCCCUCGUGAAACAGAUUCUUCUAGAACCCCUCCCAAUUUUCACGUUGUCGGCCCUUCCGCUCUCCUCCGCGGCGUCCGCCGGAGUUGAGUUGGACGGAGUGUCACGUCCCAGAUUAGUUGUAGUUACGGUCUCAAUAAAGCAGAUUUGGAUUUGAUAUUUCCCCGGCGUCACUCCUUCGUUCUAGAUCUGGCGUGCAGCGGUGCAGGCUGUUGGAGAAGGAGACAUGGAGGUGGUUGCUGCCGUAUCCAAGUUUGACCUCGACGCGGGCGCGAAGACCCGGUUGGCCAUGGGGCACGCGGAUCGGGAUGACAAGGUUCGGCGGCUCCGGGCGCUCAGACAUGGGCACCGGUCGCUCUUGCUGCGCGCAUGCUCCGAUGUUCAAGUUGUUGUCCUCCGUCUUGUCUGGUAGCACGGCUGGUGCGGGACGAAGGAAUACGACAGCCUUCUGGCGGGUCGCUCAUCUAGUACAACACCGCGCCGACGCAGGCGAGCAGCGUGUCGUCCGCCACUGGCAGGGGCGGCGGCGGCACCGCGUACUCCCGGGAGUGGUACCUGAAGUCGUUGCACUGCAGCACCGCGCACAGCUGCACACCGCGAAGUACUCGCGAGCAGGGCCGGUCCUGAGGGCACUCCGCGCGCGGUCUCCUCGGCCUCUACUCCUUCUCUUCCCCGAGAUUGGCGGAAAAUCAGGCAGGCUUUUCUGAUUGUUCAUUUGUUCGUGAAGGCAAGGUCUUGCGUGAAGGUCAUCCUCCUACAUCGCUGUGUCAAGCACUCUGAUUGCUCGUGUUGAUUGGAGUUAGAAAAGAGGAACCCAGAUUUUUGUCCGUGAACUGGCCCCUCUGUGUUACCUUGCCCCGGGCCCCCGAAAUUUCUUGACCGGCCCUGCUCACGAGAGCCGAAAUCCCUGGAGGCUGGAGUGGUAGAUGAUCUAACGCGACAGUGGGUCGAAAGUGAGGUAGACGCUCGUGCCGCCGGUUUCGAACGCGUGCUGCCGGUCGGCUCCUUGUGUCCUCCAGUGGCUUCCAUUGAGGUAGGCUUUGUGGAGGCAUGUGUAUGGGUUGUAGUCUGUAGAGUUAGUCGUGCGUCGGUGCUCACCAGGUUCAUCCUGUGGCAUUUCUUGGAGGAGAUGCGGUCGACAUGUAUGCUGGGAGCACGCUAAUGGGGGCACCUAAAGUGUUCGACGGAAUGGCUAUCACAUUGGUGCUUUCCCAUCUCACCUCACCACCACGUGAGCAAAACCACCUACCAGAGCAUCGGGGUUGAUUUGUCUGGUUUUAGAAAGUAGAGGGGAUUAAGAUCCUGGUUUUAGAGGUCAGGGCCUCAGGGGGGCUAUGUGGCCAAAAUGUAAUACUUAUGGGGGUCAUAUACACUUUUUUUCUUAAAUCUAAUAGGUUUCUUCCUCAGUGAUAUCCCAAAUUAUCCCACCAAGAAAGAUGGCCGCGUCGUCCUGGCCUGCGCUCCCGGCCACCCGGCGGGAUGUCCAGGCUGUCGUUGCCAAGGACGUGGAGCUGCACUGGCCUCCAUUGGUGCACCGUGCCCAAUGUCAGUGCUGGUGUGUACGCACAUAUAUUUCAUCCCCAAUAUUGCUUAUUUGAUCAACUUCGGGUCUGCAAUAGUUUAAUCAGCUCUUUUUAGAGAUAUAGACUAAUCAAUACAGUAGCUUAAUAACUUGUAAUCACUAGGGCCAAUUAGCUGAUGGGAGACAGGGAGAACGAUGGUUGAAGAGGCUUAGGCAGUCUGCUGACAAGGAAAUGCAAUAGUGAUUUCGCAAGAGAAAUGGAGGUGAUGGCUAGGCUCGGGCACGACAAUGUUGUCCGCCUCCUUGCUUACUUCAGUGAAUGCGAUGAGCGGAUACUCAUCUAUAGCUAUAUGUCGAACAACAGCAUGGAUCUCUGCUUAUACUUCUAUAUUUUUUCUUGCCUAUGCUCAGAAUUUGGAUCACAAUAGUAAAUAGAUCAUUAGGUUCUCUUCUAUAAUUGUUGGUUGUUGUUGUUGUGUGCUCCAACACAUAUGAGCAGCUCAUUGUUGCACGGAGAAAAGUUUCAUGCACAUAAUUAAAGUUCCGGAUAAUCGAAGUACAAAUCUGUAAAUACCUUUAGAGGAAGCUUGUAUGCUUGACAUGCUUGACCAUGUAAAAGCUCAUGCAUGAGUAAUUAUAUCGUCAGGUUAUUCUUUU